AUUGAACGCUGGCGGCAUGCCUUACACAUGCAAGUCGAACGGCAGCACGGGAGCUUGCUCCUGGUGGCGAGUGGCGAACGGGUGAGUAAUAUAUCGGAACGUGCCCUGGAGUGGGGGAUAACUAGUCGAAAGAUUAGCUAAUACCGCAUACGAUCUAAGGAUGAAAGUGGGGGAUCGCAAGACCUCAUGCUCGUGGAGCGGCCGAUAUCUGAUUAGCUAGUUGGUGAGGUAAAGGCUCACCAAGGCAUCGAUCAGUAGCUGGUCUGAGAGGACGACCAGCAACACUGGGACUGAGACACGGCCCAGACUCCUACGGGAGGCAGCAGUGGGGAAUUUUGGACAAUGGGCGCAAGCCUGAUCCAGCAAUGCCGCGUGAGUGAAGAAGGCCUUCGGGUUGUAAAGCUCUUUUGUCAGGGAAGAAACGGUGAGGGUUAAUACCUCUUGCUAAUGACGGUACCUGUAGAAUAAGCACCGGCUAACUACGUGCCAGCCGCCGCCGUAA
rnacentral:rRNA from 1 species